AUACGGAGGAUGCGAGCGUUAUCCGGAUUUAUUGGGUUUAAAGGGUGCGUAGGCGGGAUGGUAAGUCAGCGGUGAAAUAUGCCGGCUCAACCGGCAGGCUGCCGUUGAUACUGCCCUUCUAGAGUACAAACGGCGCCGGCGGAAUAUGUCAUGUAGCGGUGAAAUGCUUAGAGAUGACAUAGAACACCGAUCGCGAAGGCAGCUGGCGAGGAUGGCACUGACGCUCAUGCACGAAAGCGUGGGGAUCGAACAGGAUUAGAUACCCUGGUAGUCCACGCAGUAAACGAUGGGGACUUGUUGUCGGCGAUAGACUGCCGGCGACAAAGCGAAAGCGAUAAGUCCCCCACCUGGGGAGUACGAUCGCAAGGUUGAAACUUAAAGGAAUUGACGGGG
rnacentral:rRNA from 1 species